GUGAACAGCAGGCACAGCGCCAGGUCCUGGGGCAAACCGUUAAUAGUGCAAGCUGUUGGGUCGGAAGGGCUCCGAGUUGAUUCUUGUCGCUUACCCAUGACAGACCAUCAGAUCAGAGACUCGGGCUCUGACAACCAGCUCUCUAAUCUGCAAAACUGGGACAGCGUGGUACCCCAGAGCAGAGUACAAGAGGCAGGGCCUGGGGAGCCUAAGGAUUCUACUCCACAGGCUGUGGGGUCCCCAGAUGGUGGCUGCUGUCUCUGUUGGUAUUGAUGUCAGGAAAAGGAAGUUAACAACGGGGCCAGACACAUCCCUAAAUCCUCUGACGUGUGGCUUGUUCUCUGUACUGUAGGCUCCUUCUAGGAGGAAUGGAGGGCUGAGGUGGCGGAGAUACAGCGAUGGUAGCGCUGGCAACAAUGCCAAGGCUUUCCAUGACUAGGAUGCCGUGAGCCAGGCAUGGUGCGAGGCACUCCACAAGAACCUCAUUUGAUUCCUUCAUGGACUGCCACACAGAGCUCUGACAUUCUGGGAUCUGAGAAAUUAUCUUCAGAAGAAAAAGAGGCGCCAAAGUGGAUUGAAUGGCCUCAUCUCCCACGCAGAAUGCUGCAUCUGGCCUUCAUUUCCAGCCACGACACCUCCAUGCUGGUGCCGGCGAUUACAUUGCGGCCGGUCUUUAUGCGGCUCAGAGCACUCCUCAGCUGUCUGGCGCUCCAAGCCCCUUGAACAUUGCCCUCAAUUUUGCAGCUUCUCCUCCUGUGCCCUGCAGCUGCGACGGCCCAUAAACAACCAGACCAAGAACAAUGGCCGCUUCUUGGUAUUGAAGAGUGUAUCAAUUUUCUGUAAUUCCUUGUAGCUGGCUGAGCAUACAUUAUAGAGUUCAAGUGUUUUGAAAAUAAGCUAUGAAGAAUUGUUAUCUGUGGGGAGAGCUGGCAGUUUAUUAGCUGUCAGAGUCUGAGUGCUUGGGUGAGCUUUGCUGCACGUGCCCGAAGGGCUGGCCUUGGGGAUAUGUGCGUGCUGCCUGUGCAAGGGAGAGGGGUGACAGAGAGGGAGCGCCCCACAGCCUCUGAAGAGAAAAAUAACUUAGCCACUGGAGCUGGAGGGAGCUCUCACACGGAUCUGCAAGCGGCUAUGUAAAGUGUGACACAGAAGCCCCAAUCUGAAUCAAAAUACACAAGAAAAACCAGGAAAACCGGGGCUUAUUCCAGUCAUGUCUGCUCUGCCUGCUUGGUGCCUCAGUCCACCCCGAAGAGACUCCCAUGUCGGUGAACAUCUCUUCCCGUCCUCCCCAACCGUGGGAUUCAUGUAGUCAUGAUGGUCUGUGGAUUCUGGGUAGCCAUUGUUUAAACAAUAAGAUCAAAUUACAAAGUCUUUCUUCCUUUUUGGUAACAUCCUGUGCUCCUGACUCUCUCUCUCUCUCUCUCUCUCUCUCUCCUCCCGUUUCUCAUUUCUUCCACCCCGUGCUCUCCCCGACAGCCUUUCCCCCUUUUCUUUUAAAAAUAACUUAUUUAUUCUUAUCUUAUGUACAUUGGUGUUCUGCUGGCA